UUCCUUUGUUUAUUUUAAUUUUUUUUAUGUAUAUGACUCCUGUGUUUUUCUAUUUUUUAUUAUUUUGCAGAUUGAUUUAUAUGAAAAUACUGGACACUACUGUGAGAACUGAAUUGAAGUUCAUGGCUGCAGUUAUAAUUCAGGUGAACUACAGGAAAAGGACUGCCAGUCAAGGAGAUUUAGAAAAUGUGUGUGAAAACGGAUGGCUUUUUUGCAGAAGCUAAUUAGCGUAUUGACAAAUGCGACAAACCAACCUUGUAAAUAGUGUUUCUUCCAGUUGCCCCAGGUAUAAAGUUAUGCAAGGUGAGAAUUCAAGAGCCUAGGUUGUCCUGAUUUGCCUACAUUCAAGGGAGGGUGAUAUUAUGUGUUGAAUUGCAUCCUCCCAAAAGAUACGUUGAAUCAUAACCAUCAGUACCUGUGAAUGUGACUUUAUUUGGAAAUAGGGUCUUUGCAAAUAUAGUCGAAGUAAGAUGAGGUCAUAGUGGAUUAGGGUGGGCCCUAACUCAAUAUGACAGGUGUCCUUGUAAGAAGAGACGAGACACUGGAGAGCUCUGGCCAUGUGAAGACGGAGGCCACAUGUCACAUGUUAAGGAAUGCCUGGGACUAACAGAAGCUGCAAGAGGCAAGGAAGGAGCCUCUCCUAGAGACUUCAGAGGGAGCAUAGCCCUGCCAACACGUUGAGUUCAGACUUCUAGCCUCCAGAAGCCUGAGACUAACUUCGUGUUAUUUUAAGCCACCUGAUUUGUGAUACUUUGUUAUCGCGGCCCUGGGAAUCUACAGGUGAUAAAACAGUUUUAUUUUUUAGGGGACAGUAUCUGUUUCACCUGGCUGAAGCUUCUUUGCUUUCAGGAAUCUCAGUGAGUUUCUCAACUUUUCUUUCCAAAACGGAGGUCCUCAC
rnacentral:lncRNA from 1 species